CCUACGGGUGGCAGCAGUGGGGAAUAUUGCGCAAUGGGGGAAACCCUGAUGCAGCGACGCCGCGUGAAGGAAGAAGUAUUUCGGUAUGUAAACUUCUAUCAGCAGGGAAGAAAAUGACGGUACCUGACUAAGAAGCCCCGGCUAACUACGUGCCAGCAGCCGCGGUAAUACGUAGGGGGCAAGCGUUAUCCGGAUUUACUGGGUGUAAAGGGAGCGUAGGCGGUUUAGCAAGUCAGAAGUGAAAGCCCGAGGCUCAACUCCGGGACUGCUUUUGAAACUGUUGAACUAGAGUGCAGGAGAGGUAAGUGGAAUUCCUAGUGUAGCGGUGAAAUGCGUAGAUAUUAGGAGGAACACCAGUGGCGAAGGCGGCUUACUGGACUGUAAAUGACGCUGAGGCUCGAAAGCGUGGGGAGCAAACAGGAUUAGAUACCCUGGUAGUC
rnacentral:rRNA from 1 species